rnacentral:ncRNA from 1 species
CUUGGUUUAUUAAUAAGUAGUAAAUAUAUAGAGAAAUUUGUAUAUGAUGAAUGAUGGUUCAUUCAUUCCACUUGAAUUGCUGGAAAGUCGUAAAGCUGACGGAACGACAACGUAAAGAUGAAAGAGGCUUAAGCGUGAACGUGGCGAAAGCAGAAAAAAUUCGUCAGAUGGUUUAAGGUUAAAUCCUAAGAACUGUAAGAAUCGAUAAUCAGCAGCGAAGACUUGAAUAGAGUAACGUUCAACGACUAUCCUUUUAGGAGUAGGAUGAAGUCAUCCGAAGUAAGUGGCGCUUAACACAUUAUGGUGAAGCUGAAGAUAUAGUCUGUGCUGUAUGGAAACAUACAG